rnacentral:rRNA from 1 species
GAUGAACGCUGGCGGCGUGCCUAAUACAUGCAAGUCGAGCGAACAGAUAAGGAGCUUGCUCCUUUGACGUUAGCGGCGGACGGGUGAGUAACACGUGGGUAACCUACCUAUAAGACUGGAAUAACUCCGGGAGACCGGGGCUAAUGCCGGAUAACAUUUAGAACCGCAUGGUUCUAAAGUGAAAGAUGGUUUUGCUAUCACUUAUAGAUGGACCCGCGCCGUAUUAGCUAGUUGGUAAGGUAACGGCUUACCAAGGCAACGAUACGUAGCCGACCUGAGAGGGUGAUCGGCCACACUGGAACUGAGACACGGUCCAGACUCCUACGGGAGGCAGCAGUAGGGAAUCUUCCGCAAUGGGCGAAAGCCUGACGGAGCAACGCCGCGUGAGUGAUGAAGGUCUUCGGAUCGUAAAACUCUGUUAUUAGGGAAGAACAAAUGUGUAAGUAACUGUGCACGUCUUGACGGUACCUAAUCAGAAAGCCACGGCUAACUACGUG